UCUGGCUAUUGUAAUAUAGUUUUAAUAUCUAAUAAUGCUCCUGUUUGGCACAUUGUCAUGACUUUUGUAAAAUGUUGUACUAUGCAUCAUGUUUACCGUUCUUUAAUUGGGUUAGUGACAAUAAUAUGUAAAACAUUUUUCAUUAAAGUUGGUAUCACUCUUCACACUAAUUGCUAUGGAUUAUGAUUUUUCAAAUUAGAAGCUAAGUUAUUUAUUAUUAAUUAUGUAUGUACGUAGAAUUAGUGAAACUGCAGCGAAAUGUGCAGCACUGAUGAACUAUUCUCGUAACCAGUGCGAAAUGAAACAAAAAAAAGGCCCAUGAAACUGAUGUAAAACUGUCUCUUUAAAUACUGGUGAACUUGAACUUCCUUGUUUACUGGCUGAGCUUUAAAAAUAGAAGCUUUACGCGUCACUCGACUCGACUUUUCUCACUUUGACUUCAGCCAACUAAUGAGAGGAGUAGCUGACAUGAUGUAAAUGGAUGUCAGGGUCACUGUCCUCCUGGUUCUCAGCCUCCUUCACUUCUCCUGGGGCUCUGGUGGGGUGGCAGCUGCAGAGGACAGACAAAUGAAGACAGCAACUGUCAGUCAAAAUGGCUGAUCUACUCUAAAUCCUCUGUAGACCAGACCGUCUCAUUUGGGCCUUCGUCUACCUGGCCCAUGAAGGUAGACAACGUAUAUUGGAAGAAUUCAUCCCCUGAAUAGAGACACAGCUAGAGGCUCUUCAUCCACCUACCUCUAAUACCAGGAGACAUGCUGCACCCUGGUACCAGGAGAAGGUGUGGACAGGUGGGUUGGCGUCACUGCGGCAGGUCAGAGUCACAGGGAGGCUCCUCUGUAGCUCUCCAGGUGGAGAGAUGGACACAUGUGUAUUUCUAGUCUGCAUCUGACAGUAGUAGCUGCCAGAGUCAUCAGAAGCAACAGUGCUGAUGUUCCACACCUGUCCGCUGUAUCUCGGGGUGGCGCUUGUGCUCUGGAACCAUCUGAAACGGGCCUUUGGAUUGGCUGAAGGGCUGCAGCAGGCCAGACGCAAAUCGACGCCCUCAGUGAUGCCACCAGACGGACUCGCUGAUGUUGACACUGCACUGGAGGAAUCUGGAGAGAAGAUAUGAGAUUAGAUCGUUGACUUCAUAUGUGUCCAAUGUAGACGAAAUUCCUCAUUGGAUGUAUCAGUCAGUAACUGUAUUUAUUCUGUGAUUUCUAAAAUGUGUUAGUUGUUUGUUAGAAAAGAGUUUCUUUAUGUAAAAAGUUGUAUUUUUUACUGAGAUAUUAGUUCUGCUGAAAUGAAAGGGUUGUAUAUGUAUUCCUUUCUAAAUUAUUAUACAGGCUAUAUACCAGGCUAUUAGAUUAAUAUUCAGAAUUUUGGCUUACAACAAAGUUAAGGUCUAAAGCUUUAAGUAUUAAUUACUAUAUUAUUUUUUUAAAGCCACUGGGUGCAACAUUUAUUUAUAAAAAUGUGAAAAAAAUACACUUGGCUCUCUAUAUUCCCAGAUCAAAGUACCUUAAGGGAAAUGACCUCAGUCUGGUUCAUAAAUCUGAUUGUUGGUUUUAAUCAUUUUGUCAUGAGUUAUACAAUUGUGCAAUGAUAAGUACACAGUCUGUUUUAAACCAAAAUUACACAACAUGGAAACACAAAUAAACAAGGCAAUAACAAGUGUUUCACUUCA